UUGUAAUUUUAGUUUAUUAAUUUUUUACAUGUUAAUUUUUUAUUUUAUAGAGGUUUUUCGCAGUAUUUAAUUUUAAAUAUUCAGUGAUUUGAGAUUUAGAUAUUAAUUUUAGUUUUGAUAAAACUUGUGCCAGCAAUUGCGGUUAUACAAGUAAUGCAAUUAAAAUUUAUUGGUUAGUAAUUAUUUAGUAAAUGUUAAGGUUUAAAUAUAAAUUUUUUAGGUGAAAUUUUAAAUUUAAUUAAAUUCUUUUUUGAUUUUAUGAGGUUGUUAAAAUUCAAUUUUAGACUAGGAUUAGAUACCCUAUUAUUUGAAUUGUAAAUUCUUAUACCUGAUUAUUAUUAGAUUAUUGUCUUGAAAAUUAAAAAAUUUGGCGGUAUUUUAGUCCACUCAGAGGAACCUGUCCCGUAAUUGAUAGUCCACGAUUUGUUUUACUUUCUUUUUUAGUUUGUAUAUCGUCGUGUUUGAACAUUCUAGGAGGACAAAAAUGUUCAAUUUGUUUUAUAAAAGUUGAUGUCAGAUCAAGGUGCAGCUUAUGAGGAAGAUGGAGAUGGGUUACGUUUAAUUUAUUAUUGGUCUUCUUUUUUAAAUAUUAGAAGUAAAUUGGAUUUGGUAGUAAUAUUGUUUAGAUUUUCGAUGUGAUUAUGGCUCUAAAAUAUGCACAUAUUGCCCGUCGCUCUCAUUAAGGUGAGAUAAGUCGUAACAAAGUAGGUGUACUGGAAAGUGUACCUAGAAAGAU
rnacentral:ncRNA from 1 species